AUGGCGUCCAAGGCGCUUCUUCCUCGGGAGUGCCUCCCCCGGCGCAGUCCCGGCGGCGGCGCGGAGCCGAUUACGGUCUACGUCCGUGUGGACGAGGAGGGGAACUAUCACCCGAGGUAUUUCUCCGCCAAAAUUGGGCGAGUGUUCCGAGAUCUCCAGGAUCUUGAGCAAGCAGUCCGUACAUUCUACACCAGCAUCUACAUCGCCCGCCGCCUCCUAAAGAGGCCCCUGGAUCCGCCGCCCUCUCCGACCGACGACAUAUUCCAGUUCGAGUUCGUGGUGGAACCUGCAGCAGAUGUGUCAUCCCUCAAGGCUAGUACAGCAUUGGAGGAGAAAUCGUCCGGUUCCGACAAGGUUCCUGAUGAGAAGCCUGCAGAGGUGUCUUCCCUCAAGGACUCGCUCAAGGCUACAACAUUGGAGGAGAAAUCGUCUUCCUCUUCUUCCUCUGGGCAGCAGCCGGAUCAGGACACUGUUAUGGCCUCACCACCAUCAGGGAACUGCCUUGCCUCACCUUCUGGGCCAGGCAUUUGGCAACGAGAACGACAGGACUGGGGUUUCGGAUAUUACAUCAGGGUUGAUCUUAAGGGAUCUUUCCACACAUAUCCGAAAGCAGGCGGGCCGUUUCAGAGCUUAGAGGAAGUCGAUAAGGCUAUGGAUCGCUAUUUUCAUGAACAUCGGAAUCCAAAUCUGCUAAUGAAUAAAGGUGGGGUUCCGUCACGAGAGAUUUCUAUAGAAAAAGCUCGUUAUUGGCCUGAUGGCAGAAGGAAGAAGCUUUCCAGAUCCUAUAUCAUCCAGCAAUUCCAUAAUCGAAUGCGCUGA
rnacentral:rRNA from 1 species